rnacentral:rRNA from 1 species
UACGAGGGGCCCAAACGUUAUUCGGAUUUACUGGGCUUAAAGAGUUCGUAGGCGGCGCAGAAAGUAGGGUGUGAAAGCCCUCGGCUCAACCGAGGAAUUGCGCUCUAAACUACUGUGCUUGAGGAAGCUAGAGGUGAGCGGAACUGAUGGUGGAGCGGUGAAAUGCGUUGAUAUCAGCAGGAACACCGGAGGCGAAGGCGGCUCACUGGGGCUUUUCUGACGCUGAGGAACGAAAGCCAGGGGAGCGAACGGG